CCGAAAAACUUUAAUAGUUUGACACUCGUAGUCUAAUCGCCGAGAAGUUCUCGGCCGGCGGACGUGUGAAAGCGUUUCGCUCGGCGCUCGGCGCGGCGGCGGUCCUCGCCGUCGAUACGCAAGUUACACGCGGCUAGUGGGGAACGUGCGGACGCCAUAAGCGGGUACCUUUCGAAGCCGGCCUUCCAGGUGAGGUUUAAUGAACCUACGUAGGUCGCCCGCGCGCGUCUUCGCUACGCUGCAUUUACACACACAAUAAGUUAUACGAUUUGAUGUCUGGCCAUCGUCUCGCGCGUCUGUUCGAUCGAUGCCUUCGGUCGACUCGGGCGCCGCGGGCGUAACGGUCGUAUGUUAAUGAAAUUA
rnacentral:misc_RNA from 1 species